ACUUUGUAUUUUCAGGUGGGGGGGGUCUCACUAAAUUGGCAAGGCUGACCUUGAAUUUGGGAUCCUCCUACAUCAAUCUCGAAGGUUGCUUGAUAACCACGACUUCUAAAUCAUACAGACAAGCGCUCCAGAAGCCAGAAGGCAAGGCUCCGAGACCGGGAGCCCAGGCGAGAGCAGCCACCAGGCCUGAGGGCGCCUUCAGAGAUGUUUGAGGGCUCCUUCCCCUUUAAGAGCCCAGAUGCGGACUGCUGCCGACCGUGAUUUGAAACUCCAUCCCCGGAGGCUGGUGUCGACACCAUUGUUCUCAGCUCGCGGGCUCCCAGCUCAGGCUUAAUUAGCGAUAUGGUCUCUCAUGGACCCUGGAGCUCACUAUUUCAGCUGGGCCAUUGAACUGCACUGAACUGGCCAUUGAACUGCAGGGAUCUGCCUGUCUCUGCCUUUCCACCACUGGGAUACCACCGAGCACCACAGUGCCAGUUAUUCCACGGUGCUGGGGAUUGAACUCAGGUCUCAUGAUUGCUCAGCGGACACUUUACAGACUGAGCCUUCUCCCCAAGUCUCCAGGGUAGCUCAUAUAGAAGGUCACAAACA